rnacentral:rRNA from 1 species
UACGAAGGGAGCUAGCGUUGUUCGGAAUCACUGGGCGUAAAGCGCACGUAGGCGGAUGUGUCAGUCAGGGGUGAAAUCCCGGAGCUCAACUUCGGAACUGCCUUUGAUACAGCACAUCUGGAGUCCGGAAGAGGUGGGUGGAAUUCCUAGUGUAGAGGUGAAAUUCGUAGAUAUUAGGAAGAACACCAGUGGCGAAGGCGGCCCACUGGUCCGGUACUGACGCUGAGGUGCGAAAGCGUGGGGAGCAAACAGG